rnacentral:misc_RNA from 1 species
GCUCUAGAAACAAAGGCAACAUCAGCAGAACUGAAUUCUGCUAAUGGGACAGUCGGGAAAUUUAAUUCAAUAACAAAGCUCUCUUCUGCUUCACCAUUUUGAGUAGCAGUAAAGAUAUCGGGAGUCUUCUUAGCUGUUAGAAUCCCAGAAAGCGUCUCAAACUCAAUUAUGCUGGAAUUGACCAACCCAUUACUAAACAGAGCAUGUGAAGCCGCCAAUGUUACAUGACCACAAAGCUUGACCUCAGCCACAGGAGUGAACCACCUGAGAGGGAACCUGGGAUUUGAAGAAACAUCAUCGGACUGGGUGACUACAGUCAAGAAUCCGGUAGUGGGGAUGUUGAACUCGGCGGCCACAGCUUGCAUCCAUUUCUCAUCUCUCUCGUCCUCUAACAUACAUACCACUCCAGGAUUUCCCUUGAAAGCCGAGUCGGCAAACGCGUCCACCUGCUCAAAACUCAUAGCCGAUUCAUACCAACACAGAAGCAGUUGUAAAUAUGAAUGUGUUUAGAGAAAGUACCAAAAAG